CUGUGUAGAGGGUAAGUAUUGCCCCAGGGAAGGUAUUUCAUUUUUUUCAAGUUUCUGGGUUGGGACUCAAGCCAGUGGUGUUUGUUAAUUUUAAGAGGAAUCCCUUGAUAUUUGAACCCACCCCUUUUUGCUCCUGACAACACCUGGCAGAAGGGUUACAACUGCCAACUUUUCUGCAUAAUACAGCAAAAUGGCAUGUCUGGAGGGACACCCCAGAAUAAGGAAAAUGUUUGCAGUCUGGAACUGGGUUACCACACCCAAAGGGGAGAAGGGAAGAAAGCCAGCUGCAGAUACUGAGCAGAAACGGGGCUGCCAUUUUGCAGAUGGUGCAGAUGGGACCUCCUGCUGAGAAGUAAAUUGAGAAUAAGGAAAUGCAGCUCAUCGUGGGAUGAUAUGAGAAACAGACCAUCAAAGUCACUGUAAGGUCUUGCAACAGCUUCUCGAUCCAUGAGGGUACGAACAUUCCAUACACCAAUG